AUGAAGCACUUUGACCACACAUGCUCUUCUGAUUACAGUACACACAAGCCGGCCAAGCCAAGUACUAGUCUUCACAAAUUUGCACUUCGGAGUCGGCACCGCCGCCCGCAACCUCCACCGGCGCCGCAGCAGCCGUCGCCGACGGUGGACACCAACCUCCUGCGAGCUGGCGGGUACCCUACUACAGCUUCGGCCAUGACUUCCCUUCUCCGCCUUGCCGUCGAGAAGGCAGCGUGCACGUCCGUCCUGGCCUUUGCACCUGAGCUGUUCGAUGAAAUGCCAUGCACGCUGGUGAUGUCCAAAAACGUUGUCACCUGGUGUACAGAGCUUCUCUUCCCAGGCUCAGGUUAUCAGGUACAUUACCCCUGCUGA
rnacentral:rRNA from 1 species